rnacentral:rRNA from 1 species
CCUACGGGUGGCAGCAGUGGGGAAUAUUGCGCAAUGGGCGAAAGCCUGACGCAGCGACGCCGCGUGAGGGAUGAAGGUCUUCGGAUCGUAAACCUCUGUCAGCAGGGAAGAACGGUCACUGUGCUAAUCAGCAGUGAAUUGACGGUACCUGCAAAGGAAGCACCGGCUAACUCCGUGCCAGCAGCCGCGGUAAUACGGAGGGUGCGAGCGUUAAUCGGAAUUACUGGGCGUAAGGGGCGCGUAGGCGGUAUGUCAAGUCAAGGGUGAAAUCCCAGGGCUCAACGUGGGAACUGCCUUUGAAACUGGAAAGCUGGAGUGUGUGAGAGGAAAGUGGAAUUCCGGGUGUAGGAGUGAAAUCCGUAGAUAUUGGGAGGAACACCAGGGGCGAAGGCGACUAACUGGACCAUAACUGACGUUGAGGAGCGAAAGCGUGGGGAGCAAACAGGAUUAGAUACCCCAGUAGUC